GGCAACGGGCGUACCCGGGCCGGUUCUGCCCUUGCCGGCAGCAAGCGUGCUUCGCAUCUUGCGAACAAGCCCCGUUUACCUCCAACCGCUGGAGCAUGGGUGAUCCAUGAGGCGUAGGCUCUCUAGCUCGUUGGUGUGACACCCGGUUGUUGGGCUCGUGUACGUGCUCUUCACCCUGUGUUACCCACGAAGCUCCAAGUGGGACGUGGCGUCGGGGCUCUCCGUGUCGUGUUCCGUUUUUACCCUGCAAGCCCUGUUUGCUUACGGAAGCACUAUCCAUACGUGUUGUCCCUUGGUUGUGGYUGGUUUCCGCUUGGGCGUGAAUUCGGUUGGCAACUUUUCCGCUUGUCCCUUACAACAGCGACGGGCUCGUCCCUAGGU
rnacentral:misc_RNA from 1 species